GGGGGCGUCACGGCUUCGACGGAGAUGCUUGCGGCAGAGAGGCAUACCGGGGUGCACACACCCGUAAUCGCGUGCAAAACCAAUAAUUGCCAACCAAACACUGGCAUACGCUGCUUAAUUAGUUAAGUAGCCGUCCUCCGCGGCUUCGCCUACGGGCCGUGAAAGGGCGUCGCACAGUAGGCUGGCUUCCGCGUGCGGCCCGAGCGCGGGAGCGAGAACCAGGGCUAGCGGCCCGCGUUUCUUGUCGUGUUCUGAGCGUGGGCUGCGAACGUUUCCCUUGAGUGGGAAGCAGGAACGCGAAUAAGUAUGUAGGCUCUCUGCCAGUGACAGCUUCGGACGCGGGUUCAACUCCCGCCGCCUCCACCA
rnacentral:tmRNA from 1 species